UCUUGACCGACCAUAGAGCAUUGGAACCACCUGAUCCCAUCCCGAACUCAGCAGUGAAACGAUGCAUCGCCGAUGGUAGUGUGGGGUUUCCCCAUGUGAGAGUAGGUCAUCGUCAAGAUU
rnacentral:rRNA from 1 species